UGAAGCGGCAACAGCUCAAAUUUGAAAUCUGUCUCUUUCAGAGACCGAGUUGUAAUUUGUAGAGGGUGCUUCGGGGUCGGCUCCGGUCUAAGUUCCUUGGAACAGGACGUCACAGAGGGUGAGAAUCCCGUAUGUGGCCGGCCGUCUUCCCCAUGUGAAGCCCCUUCGACGAGUCGAGUUGUUUGGGAAUGCAGCUCUAAAUGGGAGGUAUAUUUCUUCUAAAGCUAAAUAUUGGCCGGAGACCGAUAGCGCACAAGUAGAGUGAUCGAAAGAUGAAAAGCACUUUGAAAAGAGAGUCAAAAAGUACGUGAAAUUGUUGAAAGGGAAGCGCUUGCGACCAGACUUGCCCGCAGUUGCUCAACCGGCCUUCUGGCUCGGUGCACUCUUCUGCGGUCAGGCCAGCAUCGGUUCGGGCGGUCGGAUAAAGACCUUGGGAAUGUGGCUCCCCUCGGGGAGUGUUAUAGCCUUUGGUGCAAUGCGGCCAGCCUGGACCGAGGACCGCGCUUCGGCUAGGAUGCUGGCGUAAUGGUCGUAAGCGGCCCGUCUUGAAACACGGACCAAGGAGUCUAACAUCUAUGCGAGUGUUUGGGUGUUAAACCCAUACGCGUAAUGAAAGUGAACGGAGGUGGGAACCUUAGGGUGCACCAUCGACCGAUCCCGAUGUCUUCGGAAGGAUUUGAGUAAGAGCAUAGCUGUUGGGACCCGAAAGAUGGUGAACUAUACCUGAAUAGGGUGAAGCCAGAGGAAACUCUGGUGGAGGCUCGCAGCGGUUCUGACGUGCAAAUCGAUCGUCAAAUUUGGGUAUAGGGGCGAAAGACUAAUCGAACCAU
rnacentral:rRNA from 1 species